ACGAAAGACUUGGCCCAGUGGCGUGCAUUGAGGUUUUACUACAGAGUACAGAUGUGAACAAAUAGAUGACGAACUCUCGGGAUUAUAGGUACAUAAUAGGUAUAGGUAAAAACAAAAAGUGAAACCUCUAAUAGACGUACUAGUCAGGAUACUACUGAAGUUUGAUCUGAAUUCUAUUGAAAAUACCACCAAGAAAUUUGAAGCUAUUUCAAGAAUUUGAUAAUGAUUAAUUGAUGCUAUGAAAAAGUAGUCACUCAAGUCACUGUGUUGAAUCCAGGGGGUCCCCGGAGGGGUUUACCCCCCUGGAGUAUGCCGGCCUGAAACCACCCCGAAGAAAAAGACUACCUCUCAAAAUCAAGACGAAUUUUUUAUUAUCCCCCUAGAUGUUGAAAUUGCCCCCCAGAGAAAAUUGUUUGGAUUUAGCACUGGUCAUGUCACAAAAUUUCUCAUUAACCGAACUCGCAAUAUUUACGACAUUUCUUUAUAUUCUUCAUCAGAGUAAAAUUAGGAAUUAUUCGUUGAAGCUUUAUUGAAAAAAUCUGUUAUUUUUGCGUGUAGUAAAUUCUUUCUGCUUUAUCACAAUAAUAUAUUGUAUCAUUAUAUAUUUACAUUUGUAUGAUUAUCUGAUGGAUGAACGAAAUUAUUAAUUAAUAACAGACCAGGAAUUACA